rnacentral:snoRNA from 1 species
AAGCUGGAUGAUGAGGAUCUCAUCACCUACAUCCUCAUGGGCCUAGGUGAGGACUUUGACUCUGUUGUCACAGCGGUGGCAAGUCGAGUGGAACCCUACACGGUUCCUGAACUCUAUGCCCAAUUGGUGGCGCACGAAC